GAAAAGGAUACAGCUGUUGUUUCUCCCCGGACGCGAUAUGUGGCUGCACCGUAACGGUCUCAACAUCUUCAACCUCAAAACCGUGAAAAAACAAACAAAGAAAAACAUGUUUUGCUGGACGAGCAGCAGCGUGGGCUCGGAGCCGCUCGACGGCGUCGCUAACAUGUCUAAGAGCGACAUACUGAGAGGAAUCAUCACUGAGAAACUGAGCACAGCCGCCCGGGCGAUCUUAGCGGUGGUGGAGAGGACGAUAGCUGACUACGAGGAGGAGGUCGCGGGCUUCAGACAGGAGAUCGACCGGCAGAGGAGACUGCUGGAGCUUCUGCAGCCUCGGGUCAAGCUUGAGAGAAGAGAGUUGACACCAGAGCUGCACAGCUGUGACGUAUUGAUGGAAGCCAGUCUCGAGGAGAAUGAGCAUCACACGCAGCAGUCAGACAUUCUCUGUCCAGAUGUGAAGGACACUGUGAACUCAGGUCUCCCGGUGUACGAUAAUGUGGACGAGGAGGGGGUGGAGAUGCCAUUUGUGCAACCAGACACAAGCUCCACACAGCAUGAAGAACAUCUUAAGGAACCAGAUCAUCAAAUACCUUUUGAAACGAAGAGGCCCAGCAAAGCUCUGACUGGAGGCACGCAGACCCUUCCAAAUUUCCGGAUCCGCAUCCUGGAGGAUUCCCAGACCGAAGUACUCUCUAACCUUGGUAUACUUCAAGAUCUUUGUUCUUCAG
rnacentral:lncRNA from 1 species